UCUCCGUUGGUGAACCAGCGGAGGGAUCAUUACCGAGUUUACAACUCCCAAACCCCUGUGAACAUACCAUUUGUUGCCUCGGCGGUGCCUGCUUCGGCAGCCCGCCAGAGGACCCAAACCCUUGAUUUUAUACAGUAUCUUCUGAGUAAAUGAUUUAAUAAAUCAAAACUUUCAACAACGGAUCUCUUGGUUCUG
rnacentral:misc_RNA from 1 species